rnacentral:rRNA from 1 species
GAUUCUGGCUCAGGAUGAACGCUAGCUACAGGCUUAACACAUGCAAGUCGAGGGGCAGCAUAUCGAAGCUUGCUUUGAUGAUGGCGACCGGCGCACGGGUGGGUAACGCGUAUCCAACCUUCCCUAUACUAGAGGAUAGCCCGGCGAAAGUCGGAUUAAUACUCUAUGUUCUUCGUAGAAGACAUCUGAAAUGAAGCAAAGGUUUACCGGUAUAGGAUGGGGAUGCGUCUGAUUAGGUUGUUGGCGGGGUAACGGCCCACCAAGCCCACGAUCAGUAGGGUUCUGAGAGGAAGGUCCCCCACAUUGGAACUGAGACACGGUCCAAACUCCUACGGGAGGCAGCAGUGAGGAAUAUUGGUCAAUGGACGAGAGUCUGAACCAGCCAAGUAGCGUGCAGGAUGACGGCCCUAUGGGUUGUAAACUGCUUUUAUACAGGGAUAAAGUUCACUACGUGUAGUGUUUUGUAGGUACUGUAUGAAUAAGGACCGGCUAAUUCCGUGCCAGCAGCGGC